AUUAUUUUCCAGUGAUUUCCAAUGCAGUACUCGGGAAAUUGCUGUUUUUAUUUUAACCGUGCGGUGGCGCCACGUACAUACGCUUUCAUCUGAACUGCCAAACUAAGAAAAAAUUAAUCAGUGCCUACACUCAUCCAUAAUGACCUACAUAUCUCUGCUCUGUAAAUACAUUCCAAAUGCACCAUUCUGCAUAUUAUUAUUAACAUUUUGUUUAGAUUUUAUGAUAUGCUCACAUCACCCCUAGUAAAUUUGUCUUAAUGCUUAAGAUGGUCAUUUGUUAUGCACACAGUCAAGAGAAUUAAAGGGCUAUGGAAAACAGACUUAUGUUAAAACAAAAAACAUUAUAAUAAUACUGAUAAACGAGUCAUACUAGACAUUGUGCAGUACAAAAGUUAUGGCAGUGCCUGACCUGAGCUGACUGCUUCCUAAGAGUUGUUUUCGUACUAGCUGCCAAUUCAUCAUUUAUUAAUAUGUUUCUAUCUUGCCCCAUGUGGUGGAGAGACAAUGAAAUAUUGAUUUCCUCUGGUUUAGGCUGGCAGUAAAGACAGGGUUCUCCUUUUUUAUGUAAGCAUUUGGACUGUCCCUUCUGAGACACUCACUAGCCAACAGCAGUAGACAGGAAGUAAGGUGUUUUGCUCAUGUUAACCUCUGUACAGAUAAAAGUAACAUUUCUACAAGGGACAUUUCUACAGUUCUUCUUCAUUUCUAUAAUUAUACAUUGAAAUGCCACUAAAGGGACUGUCUGGUGUCACUCUGAACAUUGGUGUUGGUGGUUAACUAGAGGUUAAAGGAGAAAACACACUUCAUACAUACACUUCACUUCUGCAUAAGCUGAUUAUAUAAAUGUUACACUUGCACAGGCAAUGUUCACCAAUCACACUCAUCGUCUUAAGAAACACUAUGGCCAAACUUGCAACACGGCACAACAUUUUGCUAACUAAAUUUGACAUUUCGACUGUGUUAGAAAGGCCCUAUAGGUUUAAUUAAAGUCAAAAUUGAAAACAAACAUUCUUUAAAUAACAAUACUACUAAAAGCUAAAAAAGAUCAAAAAGCUGCAGAUAUCAAAAUAAAAAUCACCCUCCCCUUCCGGCCUUCCCAAUAUAGUAUUUAAAAUUUUUUACAUUUUUAACCCACAAUUAUUACGUUUAAACUAUGCACUUUGUACUUGCUUUUAUUUCUAUUUUUAACCAGUAAUUCAAAACCAAAUUGCAAGCAUAUUAUUGUACCUUUUCCGUCUUCUAAACUGAAUUGACCAGAAUUUGGCACCUGUAAUGUGGGGCCCAAACGAUUUCACAGAAGAACCAUUAAUAAAUAAGCGUCUGGAAUUCAGUGUCUCGUUUUUGCGUCAUUGGCUCAAAGUUACUGGGGUCAUUUGACAGGAGAACAGGCCACGAGUGGAGCGAAAGGAACUGGAUAGCCAAUAAGAGAGCCAUCUCAAGUGCAGGAGGCAGGGUUCAGAUUCAUGGGCCCAUCUGCAGCGCUGUCACGGGAAGCCAGUUUGUGUCGUUUCAUUCAGAGCCACCUCUGGCCAAACUUCACAAGGCCACAUUCAAUUAGGACUAUUGAAAAUGCUUUCAGGCACUUCCUUGUUUACAAACUGCCUUAUAAAGGCACACGGAGCGGAACCAAGAGGGUAAAACUGAGUCACUGCAGCCAGAGGAAGGAGAAAAAUUGCCACCUCAGCCAAAAUUCCGACUAUUUGAAAAGGAAGGGAACGGACGCAUGCAUACCUUGACCAUUUACACAUAUUUCUCCACAAUGAGGGUGACCAAUGCGUGCCCAGGAAAGAUUCAGGAAUUUCAAAUCAGGAAAGGGCUUUUAUUGCAGGCUGCAGGGGGAAUUAGUUGGUGAAUGGAUAGGGCUAAGCUACAUACACCGUGUCCGCAGUCAGGCAAUGUUUGUUUUUAUCGCUGCAUGAGACUGGUGUGACCGGGCCUUGUUUACCUUGGAACUGUGUCAGAAUUCAUUCUCUGCUUGAAAUCCUUUCUCUUGAUUGCAUCAGAGCUAUGGGAACAACAUUUCCAGAGCCCAUCUGCUGCUCUGAAGUUCUUAUUACAACCUAUUAGUGACUUAUUACUUACAUUUAAAUAAGAACUGUAUUUUAUUUCAAAUUCUGAUUGAUAUAAAAAAAAACCCCGCUUUUUAGCAAUUUCUCUGAAUAGAAUGGAAGUAUGUUUUUGGUUGAAGUGAUUGAACAAAAAUGAAAUAGUUCUGGUCUUAUUUAGAUUCAAAUUCUACACCUUUGGCUAAUGUGCAUAGUGUUGUUUUAUGGUAUUUAUUAGUGUAUGGAUGAAAGGAAAGCUGUCAGCAGGCAUUUAGUGCUGAUGAAAUCAGCCCAUAACACUGAACAAUGGAGUGUUUGCUCACCUGUCAAAUAACAGACUUAAUCUCUGCAAUAUGUGUCAACAUCAGCUGGCCACUCGUGAUAAACAGAUGCUACGCUCGAAAAUGUCUUUAUCUAUUACUUUCUGGUACAGAGAAAUUUGGUGAUAUAACGCUUUUAUUCUUAUGAAAAUAAGAGUGGAAUUGUGUAUUUGUGUUUUGCACGUUUUCUUAUCAGUGCCAAUUACCAGAACGUGCAGUUAAGAAUAUAAGUCAAGUAUGAAGGGAACAUCAAGAACAUGCACUGUUGCUUGAAAGUGCAGACAAUAGUGAUGGAAGAGUAAAGUUAGUCAGGAGAGCUGGAAAUGUGAGGUUGAUAAGACUGUUGUAUGUUUACUUUUUCUCUAGUGAUUGAAAUGUGAGGUAAUCUGACAGCAUUGCAUUCAAUCUUUGACCAACGUCCUCUCUUCGUGUCGCCAGUUAGCCUCUGGCCUGCCUGAGCAUGUUCAUGUGUUUUGGAGGAGGUGUGGCUUUGGAGACUGAUUAUUCAGGUAGGGUGAGAUCUUAUGUUUUAAAAGAUAGCUUGCCAUUGCUAGCCUCUCCAAAAUCGCCUACCAGCUAGUGGUUAGAAUGGGAACUACAGUCCUAAUUCAAAAUAUUGGAGAGCAUUGUUUCUCCCAAUCUUCCUCCUCAGACUUGACGCUCAUGCUGGUUGCCAGAUGCAAGUGAAACUGAAAAUGUUAGCCAGUGAGCCUUACAGUGUAAGGUGAUGAGUUGUUUUAUCAGUGUUUAAUAUGUACUUGUUCAUAGACCACAACACCAUGCAGUACUGAAAUUUUAAAAACAGAUUUGAGCGAUGAUCAUUGUAGCCAAUCACAGUCAUAUCUGUUAAGAGCCUGAUCACAAUGACCAAUCAGUGCGGUUUAAGAACCUGCUCAGCAGCGCUCACUAGACCAUAUCUAGACAACACUAGACCAGAGCUUGUUAGAUGGAUGUUCCGCUUCACGUCGUGCCUUACAACGCCCCUUAGCUGUUAUAAAUUCACUGUAAACCAUGGCUUCUUGGGGCUUAUUGCUUUAUUUUAAAGCCAAAUAACUUGGCUGUAGCAUUGUUUUUCAGAGAAACAAAUAUGUGAACUUAGCAUGUUUCCUAAAUAUCUGCAAACAUAUUGCAGUAAUUUUAUGCUUUAGUACAGUCAAGUACAGUACUGUCCGUCUCCACACUUUUGUGAUGUAAUGUGGCUUUGACUAUUGGGUCAAAGGUGUAUAACAGCCACAUAGGGGGAAAACCCUGCUUCUGAAACUUAAAAUGAACCAUGGGACAACCAUGCUCCUGGCGAGCUACCAUACUGCAGAGUUCAGCUCCAAGCCCAAUCAAACACACAUUUACAAGCUAAUCACAGUUUUCAGAGUUAGUUGAAAAUUACAGGCAGGUGUUUUGGAGCAGGGCUGGAACUGACGUCUGCAGCGAGCUAGCUCUCUAUGAGGAGGGUUGGAGACCCCUGCCUUGCAGUACUGUGGACUUCAUGGACAUGUGCAUAUAUAUACAACAGCCAUUGUAAGUCAGCAAGACCCCAAGUGCGAAGUUUGCAAUCUGGCACAGGGUCUAAGCUCAGUUUUAUCCAGCAUAUAUACAAGUUGAAUCAUACGACAAGCAACCUCUGCAGUGAAUAUGACACGCAAUGUGUAUUUCAUCCUUCAAAUAUUAGAUUUCUUAGAUAAUGGGUGUCAAAUCCUGCACUUGAAGGGCCACUGUUCUGCAGAGUUUAGCUCCAGUCUUAAUUAAAUACACUUGAACCAGCAAAUGAAGGUCUUCAGGAUUACUCUGCAAAUGAUUCAAAAUGCAGCAGCACGUUUCGUUUUAGAUUAGCCCAUGAGAGCCCAUGUCACACCGCUUCUCAUCUCUCUGCACUGGGUACCAGUCGUGGCUCGCAUCAAGUUCAAUCAUUGGUGCUUGCCUACAGAACAGCCACGGGCUCCGCACCUGCCUACCUCCGCUCUCUCCUAAGCAUCUACUACAUCCCCUUCAGAAGCCUGCGGUCAGUCCCAUUGCAGAGAGGCGCAAAAUCACUCUCAAGGACAUUAUCUUUCACCUUCCCCUGUUGGUGGAAUCACCUACCUAACUCCAAAUUUUAUGCCUUCGCCUUUUCUGUUCUCUUAUUAUCCUUAUCCCUAGCUUUUAACUUUUUGAAGGAUGAAUGAAACCUUGUAUAAUGGGCACUUCUUGUGUUUAUUGCCAUCUUAUGAUAAAUGGCUUGUAAAUCCUCAUUUGUAAAUCACUUUAGAUAAAAACAUCUGCCAAAUGAAUAAAUGUAAAGGUAAUGUUAAUGUACUAGAAACUUCCAGGCAAGUGUGUUGUGGCAGGUUAGAGCUAAACUCUGCAGGACUUAGGAUGUAUUCACACCAGGAAAGUCCACUAGUUCACUUGCUUUGGUCUGGACCAAAUACAGUGUUGAUUUAGUUUUUGUUUGGUGCGGUUCACUUUCACACUGCCCUUUUUGCAAGUGAACCACUAACUGUAAUCAAAAUCACACGUGUGCUUAAGGUCAUCCAUUCAUUGGUUCAUCCAUUCAACCGUGCCAAAGUUUGUCUGGAAGCGGACCGAGACCACCUCUUCAGCUGGGUCUCUGUACAGUUGUUUGGUCCGCACCCGAGUAUGAUUGCUGUAUUCACACCUGCCCAAAACAUCCACGCCAAGUGGGGAAACGAACUUGAGUUGAUCCAGUCGGUGUGAAUACACCCUUAAACUCUAUCCCUCCAGGAGCAAGAUUGGUAAUAUAAUUAUAAGCCCGAAGUAUACUUUGCGCCAUCUCACAGACAAUGUGUCUGAAAUAGUUUUUGGCAUCAGCAUAGUCUGUUGAUGUCCAUGCAGACCAAUUAAUCUAUCUGAGUAAUCUCGAAGAGUCCACUGUAAUGUGCAUGCAUCAUCUACUUGAGAAUAUUGCUGAGCAAGUUAAGUUUUCAACAGGUAUUUAGUUACUUGACACUACAGCUCAGACUUUUGAAGGAAACUUUUAUCUUUCCAUUCGAAUACUGGGGUUUGUUACUGCAACACUAGCACAACAACAUAUGUAACGAGACCACACACUUGCAAUUCACUGGCCAAGCCUUAAUGACUGCUGUCGCAUACUUGUGUAGAGUGUUUCUGAUUUUAGUUUGAGUGUGAAAUAUAUUCUUGGUGAGUCAUUUAUGUUUUGUUAGUGCCUGGGAGAACUGGAUGUCAUGUGAACAGAUGGGAGAGGGUGGCAAGUUAAUUCAGAAUAACCAAGUGUAUUUAUCGGCUUGGGUGUAGGCUACUGUUUGAUGAAGGAUUG
ensembl:lncRNA